rnacentral:rRNA from 1 species
AGAGUUUGAUCAUGGCUCAGAUUGAACGCUGGCGGCAGGCCUAACACAUGCAAGUCGAACGGUAACAGGAAACAGCUUGCUGUUUCGCUGACGAGUGGCGGACGGGUGAGUAAUGUCUGGGAAACUGCCUGAUGGAGGGGGAUAACUACUGGAAACGGUAGCUAAUACCGCAUAACGUCGCAAGACCAAAGAGGGGGACCCUCGGGCCUCUUGCCAUCGGAUGUGCCCAGAUGGGAUUAGCUUGUUGGUGGGGUAACGGCUCACCAAGGCGACGAUCCCUAGCUGGUCUGAGAGGAUGACCAGCCACACUGGAACUGAGACACGGUCCAGACUCCUACGGGAGGCAGCAGUGGGGAAUAUUGCACAAUGGGCGCAAGCCUGAUGCAGCCAUGCCGCGUGUAUGAAGAAGGCCUUCGGGUUGUAAAGUACUUUCAGCGGGGAGGAAGGGAGUAAAGUUAAUACCUUUGCUCAUUGACGUACCCGCAGAAGAAGCACCGGCUAACUCCGUGCCAGCAGCCGCGGUAAUACGGAGGGUGCAAGCGUUAAUCGGAAUUACUGGGCGUAAAGCGCACGCAGGCGGUUUGUUAAGUCAGAUGUGAAAUCCCCGGGCUCAACCUGGGAACUGCAUCUGAUACUGGCAAGCUUGAGUCUCGUAGAGGGGGGUAGAAUUCCAGGUGUAGCGGUGAAAUGCGUAGAGAUCUGGAGGAAUACCGGUGGCGAAGGCGGCCCCCUGGACGAAGACUGACGCUCAGGUGCGAAAGCGUGGGGAGCAAACAGGAUUAGAUACCCUGGUAGUCCACGCCGUAAACGAUGUCGACUUGGAGGUUGUGCCCUUGAGGCGUGGCUUCCGGAGCUAACGCGUUAAGUCGACCGCCUGGGGAGUACGGCCGCAAGGUUAAAACUCAAAUGAAUUGACGGGGGCCCGCACAAGCGGUGGAGCAUGUGGUUUAAUUCGAUGCAACGCGAAGAACCUUACCUGGUCUUGACAUCCACGGAAGUUUUCAGAGAUGAGAAUGUGCCUUCGGGAACCGUGAGACAGGUGCUGCAUGGCUGUCGUCAGCUCGUGUUGUGAAAUGUUGGGUUAAGUCCCGCAACGAGCGCAACCCUUAUCCUUUGUUGCCAGCGGUCCGGCCGGGAACUCAAAGGAGACUGCCAGUGAUAAACUGGAGGAAGGUGGGGAUGACGUCAAGUCAUCAUGGCCCUUACGACCAGGGCUACACACGUGCUACAAUGGCGCAUACAAAGAGAAGCGACCUCGCGAGAGCAAGCGGACCUCAUAAAGUGCGUCGUAGUCCGGAUUGGAGUCUGCAACUCGACUCCAUGAAGUCGGAAUCGCUAGUAAUCGUGGAUCAGAAUGCCACGGUGAAUACGUUCCCGGGCCUUGUACACACCGCCCGUCACACCAUGGGAGUGGGUUGCAAAAGAAGUAGGUAGCUUAACCUUCGGGAGGGCGCUUACCACUUUGUGAUUCAUGACUGGGGUGAAGUCGAAACAAGGUA